GGUAGCUCAGUCGGUAGAGCAGAGGACUGAAAAUCCUCGUUAAAGGCUAGAGUUUACAUACAGUUUUAAUGCCCCUGUCACUCUCCA
rnacentral:tRNA from 1 species